GAGUGAAAUGAUGAUCAGUAUUAUUUUCCCUAUUGGUCUGAAUGCCGAUAUGAAGGCUACGAUUGUAUUCGCACUAUCUGAUCACUC